UACGGGGGGGGCAAGCGUUGUUCGGAAUUACUGGGCGUAAAGGGCUCGUAGGCGGCCAACUAAGUCAGACGUGAAAUCCCCCGGCUUAACCAGGGAACUGCGUCCGAUACUGGGAGGCUUGAAUCCGGGAGAGGGAUGCGGAAUUCCAGGUGUAGCGGUGAAAUGCGUAGAUAUCUGGAGGAACACCGGUGGCGAAGGCGGCAUCCUGGACCGGUAUUGACGCUGAGGCGCGAAAGCCAGGGGAGCAAAGCGGG
rnacentral:rRNA from 1 species